AGCUCAACCAAAUAGUCUAUACUAACAUUCACUAGUGGUCAUGAUGUCUGCUUUACAGUGUCAACUGAAAGCGCAGAAGGUCGGGAGUUCGAUCCUCCCAGCCC